CGUUAGUCACUUAAACUACGCAGAUGUGUCUGUGAGAUCUGUCUAAAAAUAAUCAUACGAGUAUGGCUCUUAAUUUGCACGAAAAUCCAAAAGCAAAAGAUUUUCACUGAUAGUUCUUUUUUGUGGUCUGUGGAAAGGCAUGCAAAAUGGGGAAACCAAUUUGUAAGGGUGAUAAUGGUUGCUGAAUGGCUUAAGUGGGUGUAUACGAGUUUCAAAGGUCGCACAUCGAGAGUUCCCCUCCCGGGCACUCGUAUUCCAUCUUAUCAUGGAAAACAUACGCGUAUUCGAAGCAGUUCUUGCUGGUUUUCGUUGUAAAGAAACCCUAAACUUGAACGAUCAAUCUGAGGUGCUCGUAAUGAAUGAGUACUUCGCAGAUUGACAGAUAAACUGAGAUGCAUAACAGCUUAUAGUAUGCUAUAGGACGGGCCUCUCUGCAGUGGCGGCCCCGCCUAAUUGUGGGAGCCUGAUUUCCCCAAUUACCAACAACAAAACAACAAAAAAACCACUAUUGUCUCUCGAUCUGAACUUUUCUCUUUUAAUGAACAAUUCACACGUUUCGAUAAUUUGUAUAAAUUAAACUUAGAAGCUAAGCAAAAAAAAAAAA
rnacentral:sRNA from 1 species